rnacentral:rRNA from 1 species
GACGAACGCUGGCGGCGUGCUUAACACAUGCAAGUCGAACGGAAAGGCCCUGCUUUUGUGGGGUGCUCGAGUGGCGAACGGGUGAGUAACACGUGAGUAACCUGCCCUUGACUUUGGGAUAACUUCAGGAAACUGGGGCUAAUACCGGAUAGGAGCUCCUGCUGCAUGGUGGGGGUUGGAAAGUUUCGGCGGUUGGGGAUGGACUCGCGGCUUAUCAGCUUGUUGGUGGGGUAGUGGCUUACCAAGGCUUUGACGGGUAGCCGGCCUGAGAGGGUGACCGGCCACUUGGGGACUGAGGUACGGCCCAGACUCCUCGGGGGGGAAGCGGUGGGGAAUAUUGCAAAAGGGGCGGAAGCGGGGUGCAGCAACGCCGCGGGGGGGGUGACGGCCUUCGGGUUUAAACCCGUUUUCGCCUGUGACGAGGCGGGGGGGGCGGGAAUGGGAAAAGAAGCACCGGCAAACUACGU